GUACCAUAUUGCCCCACUAGAGAGCUACGCUCACUAAAUGCGGGACUACUUGUAGUUCCUAGAGUCUUAAAAAGUAGAAUGGGAGCCAGAGCCUUUAGUUAUCAAGCUCCUCUUUUAUGGAACCAGCUUCCAAUUUCAGUCCGGGAGGCAGACACAGUCACCUCGUUUAAGAGUAGACUUAAGACCUUCCUCUUUGACAGAGCUUAUAGUUAGGGCUGAAUCAGGUUUGCCCUGGUCCAGCCCCUUGAUAUGCUGCUAUAGGCUUAUAGCUGCCGGGGGACGUUUUAGGAUGCACUGAGUACCUAUCUCCUCUUUUUCUCUCCUUAAGGAUGAAUUUUCAUCUCUCAAUCACACGUUACUAACUCUGCUUUCUCCCCGGAAGUCCUUUUGACUUUACGUCUCAUGGGGUCAUCGGACCCUAUGAGACGGCAUAGAUCCUAUCUGCCUGAUGGAUCGUCUGGGUCGUGGAAUUCCUGCUCAUGACUACGCCACUGUCCUGUUGAGACUCCGCCCACUCCUCCUCCCCACCGCCAUCUGCCUGAUGGAUCGUGGAGGUCUCCAUCGUGGAAUAUGCCUACUAUGAACUAUUCAUACACUCUGUCAUAUUCAUUGAAUGGUUAUUUGGGAGUUUUUCCUGGUCCGAUGUGAGGUUUUGGGGCAGGGAUGUCUAUGUGUACAGAUUGUAAAGCACUCCGAGACAAAUUUGUAAUUUGUGAAAUUGGGCUAUACAAAUAAACUGAAUUGAAU